UGCUCAAGCAAUAAGGUUACUGUUACUGGUAAUCGAUGGCCGGAGAAACAGAAAGAAGGCUGUCGGGAUCUUCCACCCAUACACCAACGACGGAGGUGGUGGAGAACGAGUCUUGUGGUGUGCCGUCAAAGCUAUCCAAGAUGAAAACCCAAAUCUAGACUGUGUAAUAUAUACAGGUGAUUUCGAUGCUUCUCCUCACAGUCUUACUGCUCGUGCCCUUGAUCGAUUUGGAGUCAAA
rnacentral:misc_RNA from 1 species